GUGGGGAAUUUUGGACAAUGGGCGCAAGCCUGAUCCAGCAAUGCCGCGUGCAGGAAGAAGGCCUUCGGGUUGUAAACUGCUUUUGUACGGAACGAAACGGUCCGGGUUAAUACCCUGGGCUAAUGACGGUACCGUAAGAAUAAGCACCGGCUAACUACGUGCCAGCAGCCGCGGUAAUACGUAGGGUGCAAGCGUUAAUCGGAAUUACUGGGCGUAAAGCGUGCGCAGGCGGUUUUGUAAGACAGGCGUGAAAUCCCCGGGCUCAACCUGGGAAUUGCGCUUGUGGCUGCAAGGCUGGAGUGCGGCAGAGGGGGAUGGAAUUCCGCGUGUAGCAGUGAAAUGCGUAGAUAUGCGGAGGAACACCGAUGGCGAAGGCAAUCCCCUGGGCCUGCACUGACGCUCAUGCACGAAAGCGUGGGGAGCAAACAGGAUUAGAAACCCGUGUAGUCC
rnacentral:rRNA from 1 species